AUGAAGUUGCCUGUUGUGCUGUUGGUGCUGUUGCUGUUCAGGACUCCUGUUUCUAGAGGGGAUGUUGUGAUGACUCAAACUCCACUCUCCCUGCCUGUCAGGCUUGGAGAUAAAGCCUCCAUCUCUUGCAGGUCUAGUCAGAGCCUUGUACAUAGUGAUGGAAACACCUAUUUGGAGUGGUACCUGCAGAAGCCAGGCCAGUCCCCAGAACUCCUCAUCUAUGGGAUUUCCAACCGAUUUUCUGGGGUCCCAGACAGGUUCAGUGGCAGUGGGUCAGGCACAGAUUUCACACUCAGGAUCAGUAGUGUGGAACCUGAAGAUUUGGGAGUAUAUUACUGCUUCCAACGUUCACAUGUUCCACCCACAGUGGUGCAGGCACUAACAAAAACAUCUUUGCUUGGGGUGGCCCAGCUACCAAACUUGUUACUUCUCUGUGAGACAGAGCUCCUGAGGAACUCUUCAUUAUUUGUUGCAGUGGAGGGCCUUGGAGCAUGA